GGGGAAUAUUGGACAAUGGGGGGAACCCUGAUCCAGCCAUGCCGCGUGUGUGAAGAAGGCCUUAUGGUUGUAAAGCACUUUAAGCGAGGAGGAGGCUCUUUUGGUUAAUACCCAAGAUGAGUGGACGUUACUCGCAGAAUAAGCACCGACUAACUCUGUGCCAGCAGCCGCGGUAAUACAGAGGGUGCGAGCGUUAAUCGGAUUUACUGGGCGUAAAGGGUGCGCAGGCGGCUGUGCAAGACAGAUGUGAAAUCCCCGGGCUUAACCUGGGAACUGGAUUUGUGACUGCAGGGCUAGAGUUUGUCAGAGGAGGGUGGAAUUCCGCGUGUAGCAGUGAAAUGCGUAGAUAUGCGGAAGAACACCAAUGGCGAAGGCAGCCCUCUGGGACAUGACUGACGCUCAUGCACGAAAGCGUGGGGAGCAAACA
rnacentral:rRNA from 1 species